AAUGAACGUUGGCGGCGUGGAUUAGGCAUGCAAGUCGUGCGGAAAGGCUCCUUCGGGAGUACUCGAGCGGCGAAAGGGAGAGUAACGCGUGGAUAUCUACCCCCUGGUCUGGGAUAGCGACGGGAAACUGCCGGUAAUACCAGAUAAUGUCUGCGGACCAAAGGUGUGAUUCCGCCGGGGGAUGAGUCCGCGUCCUAUUAGCUAGUUGGUGGGGUAAUGGCCUACCAAGGCGAAGAUGGGUACCGGGUGUGAGAGCAUGGCCCGGCUCACUGGGACUGAGACACUGCCCAGACACCUACGGGUGGCUGCAGUCGAGAAUCUUCGGCAAUGGGCGCAAGCCUGACCGAGCGACGCCGCGUGCGGGAUGAAGGCCUUCGGGUUGUAAACCGCUGUCAGAGGGGAGGAAAUGCGUGGUAGUUAUCUUCCAUGUUUGACCUAUCCUCAGAGGAAGUACGGGCUAAGUUCGUGCCAGCAGCCGCCGUAAAAC
rnacentral:rRNA from 1 species